rnacentral:lncRNA from 1 species
AGGACCUGCUCCUCUCUGUGUCAUGGUGAGGAGGUAGAGGAAGGUAGGACCUGCUCCUCUCUGUAUCAUGGUGAGGAGGUAGAGGAAGGAAGGACCUGCUCCUCUCUGUGUCAUGGUGAGGAGGUAGAGGAAGGUAGGACCUGCUCCUCUCUGUGUCAUGGUGGGGAGGUAGAGGAAGGUUGUUGAGGACCUGCUCCUCUCUGUGUCAUGGUGAGGAGGUAGAGGAAGGUAGUCCAGUCUGGUUGUUGAGGGCCUGCUCCUCUCUGUAUCAUGGUGAGGAGGUAGAGGAAGGUUGUUGAGGACCUGCUCCUCUCUGUAUCAUGGUGAGGAGGUAGAGGAAGGUUGUUGAGGACCUGCUCCUCUCUGUUUCAUGGUGAGGAGGUAGAGGAAGGAAGGACCUGCUCCUCUCUGUAUCAUGGUGAGGAGGUAGAGGAAGGAAGGACCUGCUCCUCUCUGUAUCAUGGUGAGGAGGUAGAG